AGCUGUUUCUAUUGAAGCGAGGAGGGGAAGAGAUAUACGUAGGCCCGUUGGGGCGACAUUCUUGUCAUCUGAUCGAUUACUUUGAGCAAAUCGAAGGAGUGAGCAAGAUACAAGACGGCUAUAAUCCUGCAACAUGGAUGCUGGAAGUAACAACACAAUCACAAGAAGAAAUAUUGGGGGUUCGUUUCAGCGAGGUGUACAAGAAUUCGGAAUUGCAUCAGAGAAACAAAGCUUUGAUCAAGGAACUGAGCAUACCUCCUCCUGGCUCUAGCGAUCUUCACUUCCCAACUCAGUACUCUCGACCAUUCCUCACACAAUGCUUGGCAUGCCUGUGGAAACAACGACUGUCGUAUUGGAGGAAUCCUCCAUAUACUGUCGUAUUGGAGGAA